rnacentral:rRNA from 1 species
CAGCCGCCGCGGUAAUACGAAGGGGGCCAGCGUUGUUCGGAUUUACUGGGCGUAAAGGGCGCGUAGGCGGGCUGAUCAGUCAGGGGUGAAAUCCCAAGGCUCAACCUUGGAACUGCCUUUGAUACUGUCGGUCUUGAGUUCGAGAGAGGUAAGUGGAACUGCGAGUGUAGAGGUGAAAUUCGUAGAUAUUCGCAAGAACACCAGUGGCGAAGGCGGCUUACUGGCUCGAAACUGACGCUGAGGCGCGAAAGCGUGGGGAGCAAACAGGAUUAGAUACCCCUGUAGUCCCUGUCUCUUAUAC